AGCAGUGUAAUCUCCAGAAGUCUCUUGUUCAAUAUCGGGAUUUAAACUUGACAUCGUACAAAAUUUUUUAAAGAGAAUACCAACAAUUCUACAUAAAAAAAUAAUUGCAACAUGUUAUCUUAAAAUUUUUUUUGUAACACCUUACUCUUCGCUUGAAGAUUGUCCAUUUAAAGCAGCCACCAAGUCAAAUUCAACAUCGAAUUGGCAAUACAAAGAGGAUCGACCAGGAUGCUCUAAUUGAUAGAGUUAAAAUUCUUUUUUUAAACGAAGGAAACUUAUAGGCUUCUCAUAAGAAAUCCAAAUGAUACUGAUUAAACAUAUUAACUAUAAUACGUCGUGCACACAACCAACAUUAAGAAUAAGUCAUACUGAUCAGAAUAAAAAUAAAGAGAACCUUCUCCAAAAUCGACG